CAGUAGCCGCGGGAAAACGGAGGGUGCAAGCGUUAAUCGGAAUUACUGGGCGUAAAGCGCACGCAGGCGGUCUGUCAAGUCAGAUGUGAAAUCCCCGGGCUUAACCUGGGAACUGCAUUUGAAACUGGCAGGCUAGAGUCUUGUAGAGGGGGGUAGAAUUCCAGGUGUAGCGGUGAAAUGCGUAGAGAUCUGGAGGAAUACCGGUGGCGAAGGCGGCCCCCUGGACAAAGACUGACGCUCAGGUGCGAAAGCGUGGGGAGCAAACAGGAUUAGAUACCCGCGUAGUCCCUGUCUCUUAUAC
rnacentral:rRNA from 1 species